rnacentral:lncRNA from 1 species
AAAAAGUUGAUGCACACAGAGAAACUGCCCGGAGGAGCAAGACAAUUUAAAGGCUUGGGGAUAAAUGAACCACUAGAGAAGUCAAGGGGCAAGACAAAAAAGUCAGGAUGACUGGUGGUGACCUGGGGUGCAGUGGAAGAAUUUUGUGUCUUUGAUAUAUGACCAAGCUCUAAGCACUCCACAAUGCCUGCUUCAGCUGUCUUCAUGGCCAUUGAAACAAAUUGUUCUCAUUCACCCAUUCUGCUGGAAAAAGUCUUCGCAUUCUUGAGAUAUACAAGAUGGACUGCUCCAGAAGACUCACCCAAAAUCAGAAUAUAAGAACCUUGCCCUUAGAAGGAUACUUUGGAGCACCUUCCUGCUAAAUGGACCUAUGUCUCUGUGAUCCUCAAGGCAGAACUGCCUUCAUGUGAUUUAUUCUCACAUAUGUGUAUGUUAGUGAAUAUGCCUGAAUUGUAUUUUGGGUUCCCUUUUCUUUCCUUUUCUGUCUCUUCACCAUAGCUUGCAAUAAAACCAUGUAUUAAACUUAUUCCUUUGAUUUU